ACAGGACUCCUUCAGGCUCACUGGUGCCUUGAGUGCAGAUACUGAGUGUAGCCUAAGCUUUCAGUAGUCACAGAAAGACUUCUAGGUGAUGGAGCACAAGACAGGAUAUAAAUAAGGACAUGCCAAAUAAUAGAAUUAAGGCCUGUUAAUGAAACUUCAUCAACCCAGCAUCUUAAGCAAGUGAAAUAUUAUCACCAAGAAAAACAAUGGAUUCAGCAUAAAAAUCAAAUUGAAUGGAACUAUGAUGAAGUAUGAGGCAAGAUGAAGAACUGGAGCCCAAUCAAGAGUGCUAUUCAUCCUCUGAAUCGCAAGAGUUGGAAAUAUUUGCUUGGUGAAUAGCUGUUGCUUGGUAGAAGGAGGCAGCUCAAUCUCAUGAGAUCAUAUACUUUCAUGGUGUCUCCAAUUCCAAUCCAGCCCAGGUUUUACAUGCCCCCUCGCUACCCCAAGCUUCCAAGAAAGCUAGGGGCAAAGAAUGGAAAAAUGGAAGAAUGGACACCAGGAUUUUAGAACACAUUAUUGGUGAGAUGAGGGGAGUUAAAAGUUGGUGGAAGAGAAGAAAAGAGGGGAGUAAGAGGAUCCAAAGGGAAAGUACUGUGUCACUAUUGACUACCAUGAAUUCUCAAUGCAAGCACAGUCCAGGAAAACUGGAAGGACUCAAUAAAUUUUCCUAAGAC